AAACUAGAUACAAGCGAGCGGCGGACGGGUGAGUAACACGUGGGUAACCUGCCCAAGAGACUGGGAUAACACCUGGAAACAGAUGCUAAUACCGGAUAACAACACUAGACGCAUGUCUAGAGUUUAAAAGAUGGUUCUGCUAUCACUCUUGGAUGGACCUGCGGUGCAUUAGCUAGUUGGUAAGGUAACGGCUUACCAAGGCAAUGAUGCAUAGCCGAGUUGAGAGACUGAUCGGCCACAUUGGGACUGAGACACGGCCCAAACUCCUACGGGAGGCAGCAGUAGGGAAUCUUCCACAAUGGACGCAAGUCUGAUGGAGCAACGCCGCGUGAGUGAAGAAGGGUUUCGGCUCGUAAAGCUCUGUUGGUAGUGAAGAAAGAUAGAGGUAGUAACUGGCCUUUAUUUGACGGUAAUUACUUAGAAAGUCACGGCUAACUACGUGCCAGCAGCCGCGGUAAUACGUAGGUGGCAAGCGUUGUCCGGAUUUAUUGGGCGUAAAGCGAGUGCAGGCGGUUCAAUAAGUCUGAUGUGAAAGCCUUCGGCUCAACCGGAGAAUUGCAUCAGAAACUGUUGAACUUGAGUGCAGAAGAGGAGAGUGGAACUCCAUGUGUAGCGGUGGAAUGCGUAGAUAUAUGGAAGAACACCAGUGGCGAAGGCGGCUCUCUGGUCUGCAACUGACGCUGAGGCUCGAAAGCAUGGGUAGCGAACAGGAUUAG
rnacentral:rRNA from 1 species